rnacentral:tRNA from 1 species
UGGCUCAGUGGUAGAGUUCUUGCCUUGCAUGCACAAGGUCCUGGGUUUGAUUCCCAG